UACGAAGGGUGCAAGCGUUAAUCGGAAUUACUGGGCGUAAAGCGUGCGCAGGCGGUCUUGCAAGACAGAUGUGAAAUCCCCGGGCUUAACCUGGGAACUGCAUUUGUGACUGCAAGGCUGGAGUACGGUAGAGGGGGAUGGAAUUCCGCGUGUAGCAGUGAAAUGCGUAGAUAUGCGGAGGAACACCGAUGGCGAAGGCAAUCCCCUGGACCUGUACUGACGCUCAUGCACGAAAGCGUGGGGAGCAAACAGG
rnacentral:rRNA from 1 species